UUAACAUUGAUAGAAAAGAAUAAACUAGACUUGGAGAUAUUGAUUUCAUAAAUAGAGAUGUUAUAGAAAGAGUCAAAAGUAAUUCUAUACGCAUCAAUAAAUAAAAGUCGGAAAACUUUAGAACUUAUCUAUCUGAAUUUGGAACAACUUUAAAGAUCACUUUAAGUUGCUCAAAUUGUAAUAAAUAAUUUUCUAAAAGCAAUUGCAACACUUUUUUUGAAAAAAAAAAAAAAAAAUUUUAACAAGAGAGACGUAAAUGAUAAAUAA
rnacentral:lncRNA from 1 species